UACAGAGGGGGCAAGCGUUGUUCGGAAUUACUGGGCGUAAAGGGCUCGUAGGCGGCCGGCUAAGUCCGACGUGAAAUCCCCAGGCUUAACCUGGGAACUGCGUCGGAUACUGGCGGGCUUGAAUCCGGGAGAGGGAUGCGGAAUUCCAGGUGUAGCGGUGAAAUGCGUAGAUAUCGGGAGGAACACCAGUGGCGAAGGCGAGUCUCUGGGAUGAUGCUGACGCUGAGGCGCGAAAGCCAGGGGAGCAAACGGG
rnacentral:rRNA from 1 species